rnacentral:SRP_RNA from 1 species
GCCAGGCAUGGUGGCGCAUGCCUGUAAUCCCAGCAACUUGGGAGGCUGAGACAGGAGAAUCCCUUGAACCCAGGAGGUGGAGGUUGCAGUGAGCCGAGAUUGCGCCACUGCACUCCAGCCUGGGUGACACAGUGAAACUCUGUCUCAA